UACGGGGGGGGCAAGCGUUGUUCGGAAUUACUGGGCGUAAAGGGCUCGUAGGCGGCCAACUAAGUCAGACGUGAAAUCCCUCGGCUUAACCGGGGAACUGCGUCUGAUACUGGAUGGCUUGAGUUCGGGAGAGGGAUGUGGAAUUCCAGGUGUAGCGGUGAAAUGCGUAGAUAUCGGGAGGAACACCUGUGGCGAAAGCGGCGCACUGGACCACAUCUGACGCUGAGGCGCGAAAGCGUGGGGAGCGAACAGG
rnacentral:rRNA from 1 species